rnacentral:tRNA from 1 species
UUAAAAGAAGCCAAACUGUCGGCAUAUCACUGUUAAUGAUAUUUAGGGUAAACCCCUUUUAAU